rnacentral:rRNA from 1 species
AAACUUUCAACAACGGAUCUCUUGGUUCUGGCAUCGAUGAAGAACGUAGCAAACUGCGAAACGUAAUGUGAAUUGCAGAACUCAGUGAAUCAUCGAAUCUUUGAACGCACAUUGCACCCCCCGGUAUCCCGGGGGGUACACCUGUCCGAGCGUCGUC